rnacentral:rRNA from 1 species
UGCAUGUCUAAGUACAUGCCGUAUUAAGGCGAAACCGCGAAUGGCUCAUUAAAUCAGUUAUGGUUCCUUGGAUCGUACCUUUCUACUUGGAUAACUGUGGCAAUUCUAGAGCUAAUACAUGCAGCACAGCUCCGACCUUCGGGGACGAGCGCUUUUAUUAGACCAAAACCAAUCGGACCUCGUGUCCGGNUCUUGGGGUGACUCUGUAUAACUUUGGGCUGAACGCACGGGCCUGUGCCCGCGACCGGAACCUUCAAGGGCUGCCUUACCAACUUUCGAAGGGAGGUUACCCGCCCACCAUGGGCGUAACGGGUAACGGGGAAUUAGGGGUUGAAUUCCGAGAAGGAGGCUUAGAAACGGGUUCCACAUCCAAGGAAGGCUGCAAGGCGCAAAUUACCACUUCCAAACCGGGAGGUUGUGCGAAAAAUACCAUACGGGAGUCUUUUGAGACCCGUAAUUGGAAUGAGACACUCUUAAUCCUUUAACGAGGAUCCAUUGGAGGGCAAGUCUAAGUGCCAGCAACGCGGUAAUUCUAGCUCCAAUAGCGUAUAUUAAAGUUGUUGCGGAUAAAAAGCUCGUAGUUGGAUCUCAGUUCCAGACGGGUGGUCCGCCUACCGGUGGUUACUGCCUGUUAUGAACAGCCACCCGGUUUCUCUUGAUGAUCUUCACCGGUUGUCUUGGGUGACCGGCAAGUUUACUUUGAAAAAAUUAGAGUGCUCAAAGCAGGCGUGACGCCUAAAUAAUGGUGCAUGGAAUAAUGGAAUAGGACCUCGGUUCUAUUUUGUUGGUUUUCGGAACACGAGGUAAUGAUUAAGAGGGACUGACGGGGGCAUUCGUAUUGCGACGCUAGAGGUGAAA